rnacentral:tRNA from 1 species
GCGGAGUAGUUCAGUGGUAGAACAUUAGGUUGCGGGUUACUGCCUAAGUGUCGCCGGUUCGAAUCCGGCUUCCGCU